rnacentral:rRNA from 1 species
UACGUAGAGGGCGAGCGUUGUCCGGAGUUACUGGGCGUAAAGGGCACGCAGGCGGUCACGCGCGUCUGCCAUGACAGCUCCCGGCUCAACCGGGAGAGGCUGGUGGAAACGGCGCGACUGAGGACUUCAGAGGGACACGGAAUUCCGGGUGGAGUGGUGAAAUGCGUAGAGAUCCGGAGGAACACCAAAGGCGAAGGCAGGUGUCCUGGGGAGUACC